rnacentral:rRNA from 1 species
GUUGAUAAGGUUAAGUGAAUAAGGGCGCACGGUGGAUGCCUUGGCACUAGGAGCCGAUGAAGGACGGGACUAACACCGAUAUGCUUUGGGGAGCUGUAAGUAAGCUAUGAUCCAGAGAUUUCCGAAUGGGGGAACCCAAUAUCUUUUAUAGGAUAUUACUUUUCAGUGAAUACAUAGCUGAUUAGAGGUAGACGCAGAGAACUGAAACAUCUUAGUACCUGCAGGAAGAGAAAGAAAAUUCGAUUCCCUGAGUAGCGGCGAGCGAAACGGGAAGAGCCCAAACCAACAAGCUUGCUUGUUGGGGUUGUAGGACUCCGAUAUGGUAGUCUGUUAGUAUAGUUGAAGGAUUUGGAAAAUUCCGCUAAAGAGGGUGAAAGCCCCGUAGACGAAAUGCUGACAACACCUAGGAGGAUCCUGAGUACGGCGGAACACGAGAAAUUCCGUCGGAAUCCGCGGGGACCAUCCCGCAAGGCUAAAUACUCCCUAGUGACCGAUAGUGAACCAGUACCGUGAGGGAAAGGUGAAAAGCACCCCGGAAGGGGAGUGAAAUAGAUCCUGAAACCGUGUGCCUACAACAAGUCAAAGCUCGUUAAUGAGUGAUGGCGUGCCUUUUGUAGAAUGAACCGGCGAGUUACGAUUGCAUGCGAGGUUAAGUCGAAGAGACGGAGCCGCAGCGAAAGCGAGUCUGAAUAGGGCGAAUGAGUAUGUAGUCGUAGACCCGAAACCAUGUGAUCUACCCAUGUCCAGGUUGAAGGUGCGGUAAAACGCACUGGAGGACCGAACCCACGUACGUUGAAAAGUGCGGGGAUGAGGUGUGGGUAGCGGAGAAAUUCCAAACGAACUUGGAGAUAGCUGGUUCUCUCCGAAAUAGCUUUAGGGCUAGCCUCGGAAUUGAGAAUGAUGGAGGUAGAGCACUGUUUGGACUAGGGGCCCAUCUCGGGUUACCGAAUUCAGAUAAACUCCGAAUGCCAUUCAUUUAUAUCCGGGAGUCAGACUGCGAGUGAUAAGAUCCGUAGUCGAAAGGGAAACAGCCCAGACCACCAGCUAAGGUCCCAAAAUAUAUGUUAAGUGGAAAAGGAUGUGGGGUUGCACAGACAACUAGGAUGUUGGCUUAGAAGCAGCCACCAUUUAAAGAGUGCGUAAUAGCUCACUAGUCGAGUGACCCUGCGCCGAAAAUGUACCGGGGCUAAACAUAUUACCGAAGCUGUGGACUACACCAUUAGGUGUAGUGGUAGGAGAGCGUUCUAAGGGCGUUGAAGGUCGAUCGUGAGGACGGCUGGAGCGCUUAGAAGUGAGAAUGCCGGUAUGAGUAGCGAAAGACAGGUGAGAAUCCUGUCCACCGUAUGACUAAGGUUUCCUGGGGAAGGCUCGUCCGCCCAGGGUUAGUCGGGACCUAAGCCGAGGCCGAUAGGCGUAGGCGAUGGACAACAGGUUGAUAUUCCUGUACCAGUUGUUUUUGUUUGAGCAAUGGAGGGACGCAGUAGGCUAAGGAAUGCAUGCGAUUGGAAGUGCAUGUCCAAGCAAUGAGUCUUGAGUAGAGUUAAAU